CAUAGGAAGCUAUCUGCUGAAUCUGCAAACAGUUUGUGUUCCUUGGAAAUGGAGACAGGAUCUCACUCUGUAACCCAGGCUAGCCUGGAAUUCACCAUGUAACUCAGCUGAAGCACAAGACAGAGAGCUUAAAACAGCCUUCAUGAAGACGACAGAGGUCCUGAAAGAGGACAUGAAUACAUCUCUUAAAUUUAUGAGAACAAAAACAGCAGUGGAAGGAAAUGAAUAAAACAGUUCAAGACCUGAAAGUGGAAAUAGAAUCAAUGAAGAAAACUCAAACUGAGGGAAAUCCAGAAAUGAAAGAUUUAGGAACUCGAAUAGGAACCUAUGAUGCAAGCCUCUCUAGCAGAGAUGGAAGAAGAGAAUCUCAAGCAUUAAAGACACAAUAUACGAAAUGGAUUCCUUGGGCAGAGAAAAUGGUGACUCUAAAAAAAUUCCUGUCACAAAACAUCCAGGAGAUAUGGAACACCAUAAAAAGACCAAAUCUAUGAAUAAUAAGAAUAGAGGAAGGAGAAGAAACCCAAGUCAAAAGCACAGAAAAUAUUUUCAAUAAAAUCAUAGAAGAACAUGACUCUAACCUAAAGAAGGAAAUGCCUAGUAAGGUAUAAGAAGCACAAAGAACACUAAGUAGCCUGAACCAAAAAGAAAGUCCCCUCAGCACAUAGUAAUCAAAACACUACAUGUAUAGAACAAAGAAUAUUAAAAACUGCAAGUUUGACAAAGUAACAUAUAAAGGCAGACAUAUUAGAAUUACACCUGACUUCUCAAUGGAGACUCUAAAAACCAGAAGGACCUGGAUAGAUGUGCUGCAGACUCUAAGAGACAACACAUGGUACCCCAGACUAUUAUCCUGAGCAAACAGAUGGAGAAAAUAUAAGACAUUCCAUGAUAAAACCAAAUUUAAGUAAUAUAUAUCUUCAAGUCAGCCCCACAGAAUGAACUAGAAGGAAAACUCCAACCUAAAGAGGUUAAUGACACUCAAGAAAACACACAGGGAAUAGAUAAUCCCAGUUGAGCACAAAAAGAAAAAAGAGAAACACACACACACACACACACACACACACACACACACACACACACACCACACACAACACCCCAAAAAUAGUAGGAAUGAACAGAAACUGCAUAUUGAUUAUCUCUUAACAUCAGUGGUUUCAAUACCACAAUAAGAAGACAGACUUAGCCAGGCGGUGGUGGCGCACGCCUUUAAUCCCAGCACUGGGGAGGCAGAGCCAGGUGGAUCUCUGUGAGUUCAAGGCCAGCCUGGGCUACCAAGUGGGUCCCAGGAAAGGCGCAAAGCUACACAGAGAAACCCUGUCUCGAAAAACCAAACCAAACCAAACCAAAAAAAAAGCAGACAGACUAACAGAAUGGAUGCAAAAACAGGUUCCAUCCUUCUGUUGCAUUCAAGAAACAUACUUUAACACCAAAGAUAGACAUCACCUCAGGAUAAAAAGAAGGAAAAACAUAUUCCAAGCAAAUGGACCUAAGAAGCAUCUGGGGUGUAGCCAUUUUAUUAUCUGACAAAAUAGACAUCAAGCCAAAACUAAUCUGAAGAGAUAUAGGUGAACACUAUGUACUUGUCAAAAGAAAUAACCUUCCAGAGGACAUUUCAAUUCUUAACAUCUUUGCACCAAACAUAAAGGCAUCCAAGUUCAUAAAAGAAACUGUUUGGAAGGAGUCUGGUGGAAGAUCCACUUCAACUUCUCUUUCCCCAUCUUUUUCCCCAAACCUGCACCUUCAGAGCCUGCUAAACAGCUCCUUCCCCAGAGAGGCUCAAGACCACUCCCACAGGGGAUACAUAAGCGGCAUCCCAUAAAACAGACUGGUGGUUCUUCCGUUCUCACAUCCCUGUCUCCUCUCUGGCAUUCCUGUUUCCUCUCUGCAGCCAGGAAUCGCCCAGGAGUGCUUUACUCAUUAAACCCGGGCUUUCCAA